rnacentral:lncRNA from 1 species
UAAAGGACAAACCUGAAGCAAUGACAAGAAACAUAAACUCAUGUUUCUCUUCUGUGUCUGAAGCUGUCAGGACAGCAGGCAAACUGUCACUGCUGGCCCCUGCCUGUCAUCUCGGCCCUGUGCACAGACCACCAGCCCCGAGGGUGAAAGACUGCACUAUGUGGUAAAGUCAAGCUUCAGUUUCCUUCCCAGUCUCUUCCCAUCCAUUCAAUCUCAUGGGCUCGGCCAUAAAUGAAGACCAAGUGGCAGUUUUACAACCUUUCGGGAAUAAAAGCUAAGGCAACUAAUCCAGCCCUCCCACAAACACCGUCCCUUUCCAAACCUCUAAAGACCUUCACUCUGCACCGUAUCUGGUUCUAAGAUCCAGCUCUUCUCUGCAAACCUACCCCCUACAUGCACCCAC